rnacentral:rRNA from 1 species
UNNAGGAAUAAAGUCGGGUAUGGAUACCCGUUCGCAUGUACUUUAUGAAUAAGGAUCGGCUAACUCCGUGCCAGCAGCCGCGGUAAUACGGAGGAUCCGAGCGUUAUCCGGAUUUAUUGGGUUUAAAGGGAGCGUAGAUGGAUGUUUAAGUCAGUUGUGAAAGUUUGCGGCUCAACCGUAAAAUUGCAGUUGAUACUGGAUAUCUUGAGUGCAGUUGAGGCAGGCGGAAUUCGUGGUGUAGCGGUGAAAUGCUUAGAUAUCACGAAGAACUCCGAUUGCGAAGGCAGCCUGCUAAGCUGCAACUGACAUUGAGGCUCGAAAGUGUGGGUAUCAAACAGGAUUAGAUACCCUGGUAGUCCACACGGUAAACGAUGAAUACUCGCUGUUUGCGAUAUACAGCAAGCGGCCAAGCGAAAGCGUUAAGUAUUCCACCUGGGGAGUACGCCGGCAACGGUGAAACUCAAAGGAAUUGACGGGGGCCCGCACAAGCGGAGGAACAUGUGGUUUAAUUCGAUGAUACGCGAGGAACCUUACCCGGGCUUAAAUUGCAGAUGAAUUACGGUGAAAGCCGUAAGCCGCAAGGCAUCUGUGAAGGUGCUGCAUGGUUGUCGUCAGCUCGUGCCGUGAGGUGUCGGCUUAAGUGCCAUAACGAGCGCAACCCUUGUUGUCAGUUACUAACAGGUUCCGCUGAGGACUCUGACAAGACUGCCAUCGUAAGAUGUGAGGAAGGUGGGGAUGACGUCAAAUCAGCACGGCCCUUACGUCCGGGGCUACACACGUGUUACAAUGGGGGGUACAGAGGGCCGCUACCACGCGAGUGGAUGCCAAUCCCCAAAACCUCUCUCAGUUCGGACUGGAGUCUGCAACCCGACUCCACGAAGCUGGAUUCGCUAGUAAUCGCGCAUCAGCCACGGCGCGGUGAAUACGUUCCCGGGCCUUGUACACACCGCCCGUCAAGCCAUGGGAGCCGGGGGUACCUGAAGUGCGUAACCGCGAGGAGCGCCCUAGGGUAAAACUGGUGACUGGGGCUAAGUCGUAACAAGGUAA